GACGAACGCUGGCGGCGUGCUUAACACAUGCAAGUCGAACGGAAAGGCCCUGCUUUUGUGGGGUGCUCGAGUGGCGAACGGGUGAGUAACACGUGAGUAACCUGCCCUUGACUUUGGGAUAACUUCAGGAAACUGGGGCUAAUACCGGAUAGGAGCUCCUGCUCCAUGGUGGGGGUUGGAAAGUUUCGGCGGUUGGGGAUGGACUCGCGGCUUAUCAGCUUGUUGGUGGGGUAGUGGCUUACCAAGGCUUUGACGGGUAGCCGGCCUGAGAGGGUGACCGGCCACAUUGGGACUGAGAUACGGCCCAGAUUCCUACGGGAGGCAGCAGUGGGGAAUAUUGCACAAUGGGCGGAAGCCUGAUGCAGCAACGCCGCGUGCGGGAUGACGGCCUUCGGGUUGUAAACCGCUUUCGCCUGUGACGAAGCGUGAGUGACGGUAAUGGGUAAAGAAGCACCGGCUAACUACGUG
rnacentral:rRNA from 1 species